UCUUUCCUGCAAGCCCUCACCGGUCGAGAGCGGCUCCUGCACCUCGGUAUCGCGAGACGUGGGUGGGCGUGGAUUGGGCCCGGCUGACAAAUCUCGCGAGGCUUAGACGCCGCAGACCGCGAGGAGGUGCAGGACCUGGAGCACGUUUCCUUUUGCAGACUUUGGGAGUUUGGGGUGUUUGCCGUAGUUUCGCAAACUGAUCGCGGUUUCCACAGCAAGGUUCCCCCCGUGAGAUGGGCUCAUGCAGUUCUUGGCUUAGGGUUCUCACCUUGCACACUAUCACCAGUUGACACUUCUCAAUUCGUCUUGUUAUGGAAACUAAGAUCCAGAUCCUAAAGAAUUUGUUACUAACAAGGUCUUGCUAAGUUGCCCAGGCUGCCCUCCUGCCUCAACCCCCUGAAUUGCUGGAAUUGAAGGGUCUCAUGGGGUUGCCCACGCUGGCCUUGAACUCUUGAGUGAAAGUGAUCCUCCUGCCUCAGCUUCCUGAGUAGAUGAGACUACAGGCAUACACCAUCAUGUCUGGAUCAUAUUUUGUUUUGUACUGAUAUGACGUAUUGUAUUAGUUGAUUUUAAGAUGUUAAACCAACCUGGCAUUAAUGGAAUAAAAUACCAUGUGGUCCUGGUGCAAAAUUCUUUUUCUAAGAUUCAGGAUUUCAUUUGCUAGUACUUUACUGAGGAUUUUUCACCUAUAUUCACAAGAGUUAUUAGUCUAUAGUUUUUUUGUGGUAUCUUUGUGUAUUUUUUUGGUAUCAGGGUCAUACUGGCCUUAUUUAAAAUAGAGAAAGAAAUAUUCCUUUCCUCUACUGUUUUUGGAGAAGAAUUUAUGAAGAAAUUCUUACUAAUUCUCUUUAAAUCUUUGAUGAAAUUCAGUGAUGAAGACAUAUGGACCUGGGUUUUAUUUUAUUUUAUUUUUUUGGCAAUGGGGAUUGAAUGCAGAGGCACUCUACCAUGCUUACCUGUGGGAGACCAACGUUGCACGUGACUGAGUCACACUCUCCAGCUGGGUGCUGAGACGCUCAGUCACAGAAAUGUGGCAGAGCUUUCCUCACCCUUCUUAGGUUCCAGGGUCGGAGUCUCCUGCAUGGGUGUGUCUUGCUACAGCCCCCAUGGGUGAGGCUACGCUCACCUUUUCCUUUGUAAUAUAACCCCUUGCCCUGUUUAGGAUAGAAUCUUCCAUGGAAGUUCCUUGUGUGUGUCCCUGCCGCUUCCGGCUAACGGAGCCGAGUCCGGUGAGGGACGGCGGGGUUAAAAAU